CGGGACACGUGGUAUCCUGUCUGAAUAUGGGGGGACCAUCCUCCAAGGCUAAAUACUCCUGACUGACCGAUAGUGAACCAGUACCGUGAGGGAAAGGCGAAAAGAACCCCGGCGAGGGGAGUGAAAAAGAACCUGAAACCGUGUACGUACAAGCAGUGGGAGCACGCUUAGGCGUGUGACUGCGUACCUUUUGUAUAAUGGGUCAGCGACUUAUAUUCUGUAGCAAGGUUAACCGAAUAGGGGAGCCGAAGGGAAACCGAGUCUUAACUGGGCGUUAAGUUGCAGGGUAUAGACCCGAAACCCGGUGAUCUAGCCAUGGGCAGGUUGAAGGUUGGGUAACACUAACUGGAGGACCGAACCGACUAAUGUUGAAAAAUUAGCGGAUGACUUGUGGCUGGGGGUGAAAGGCCAAUCAAACCGGGAGAUAGCUGGUUCUCCCCGAAAGCUAUUUAGGUAGCGCCUCGUGAAUUCAUCUCCGGGGGUAGAGCACUGUUUCGGCAAGGGGGUCAUCCCGACUUACCAACCCGAUGCAAACUGCGAAUACCGGAGAAUGUUAUCACGGGAGACACACGGCGGGUGCUAACGUCCGUCGUGAAGAGGGAAACAACCCAGACCGCCAGCUAAGGUCCCAAAGUCAUGGUUAAGUGGGAAACGAUGUGGGAAGGCCCAGACAGCCAGGAUGUUGGCUUAGAAGCAGCCAUCAUUUAAAGAAAGCGUAAUAGCUCACUGGUCGAGUCGGCCUGCGCGGAAGAUGUAACGGGGCUAAACCAUGCACCGAAGCUGCGGCAGCGACGCUGAUGCGUUGUUGGGUAGGGGAGCGUUCUGUAAGCCUGCGAAGGUGUGCUGUGAGGCAUGCUGGAGGUAUCAGAAGUGCGAAUGCUGACAUAAGUAACGAUAAAGCGGGUGAAAAGCCCGCUCGCCGGAAGACCAAGGGUUCCUGUCCAACGUUAAUCGGGGCAGGGUGAGUCGACCCCUAAGGCGAGGCCGAAAGGCGUAGUCGAUGGGAAACAGGUUAAUAUUCCUGUACUUGGUGUUACUGCGAAGGGGGGACGGAGAAGGCUAUGUUGGCCGGGCGACGGUUGUCCCGGUUUAAGCGUGUAGGCUGGUUUUCCAGGCAAAUCCGGAAAAUCAAGGCUGAGGCGUGAUGACGAGGCACUACGGUGCUGAAGCAACAAAUGCCCUGCUUCCAGGAAAAGCCUCUAAGCAUCAGGUAACAUCAAAUCGUACCCCAAACCGACACAGGUGGUCAGGUAGAGAAUACCAAGGCGCUUGAGAGAACUCGGGUGAAGGAACUAGGCAAAAUGGUGCCGUAACUUCGGGAGAAGGCACGCUGAUAUGUAGGUGAAGUCCCUCGCGGAUGGAGCUGAAAUCAGUCGAAGAUACCAGCUGGCUGCAACUGUUUAUUAAAAACACAGCACUGUGCAAACACGAAAGUGGACGUAUACGGUGUGACGCCUGCCCGGUGC
rnacentral:rRNA from 1 species